CUGUAUGAUAUAUCCCUCACAUCACUGACGAGUCAUAGAAGGACGAAACAGCUGUAUGAUAAAUUCCUCACAUCACUGACGUUUUCACAAACAGACCAUUAUUUUCUAUAUAUACUCCAUAUUAAAGAGUUCCUUAAACGACAAACGCAUAACUACAAAAGUAAAACGUUACAUCAAACCAUAACAUAUAUAUAACUUACAUUAUGAACUACUUGCAGACUCAUUGUCGACAUGAACACCGCACAUUGACUCUUUUAUUAAGUGACGGUGAUGGAUGGUAUAGAUGCCGAGAUACAUUGUAACUCAGUCGGUUGGAGCGCUGGUCAAGUUACCUUAGGUGAACGGUUCGAUUCAUCCUACCCAUGCCGGUUUGUGUUUCUCGGGAAGCUGAGAAACGGAAUGGCUGGUACUGUCGUGGUUGUGUGUAACUACUACAAGAAGACCCAGCCUAAAAAUGGUCCCAAUUUAUACAUUUUCUGACGCCAAACACAUAUCCUUUUCUUUUAGGAAGAAUUUAACCAUGUUUGGGGUCCUUCGUUCCGUACAUUGGAGAAGUCGGGGAUCGCUUUUGCGACUUAUUUGCCCUAGUCUAUUGGCGCACGAGUUACUCGAAUAUUCAUGUGAUUAUGUUCGUAGAUGACGUGUCCCAGAUACAUGUACAUGUAGUUUGCGUGAUUCAGAUACGAGAAACACUUAUCUGAAAUGUUUUCUGCCAUGAUUGUCUCCUUCGCUUAAUUCGCAUUGCAUCAAUAUAAAUAUGCAUUAAGCCAACCGUUUUGUAAUGAAAUAUUUUGUGUUGAUAGACAAGGUGUUUAUGUUGUAUUUUUGGUGUAUUGCUUACUUUUUGUCAGGCAGAUAUUGACAAGACCUGAUUUUUCUGUAACGUUUGUAGAUAAAAUCACAUUUCCCUUUUAGCGAUGCUACCCAUAUCUAAUUUUAUCCCGCAAGGGUUUGGUGUUCCUUUCUCCAGUCCCUCUUGUUCAGCUUCUUCGAUUUACCUGGUCUUGGAUUUUCUUUGUAUAACCUCUGUAACAUCACUUUUUGUGGUCACGGUUUCCCUCAUUACAAAAAAUGUCCUGUCAUCGUUAUAAACAAAACCGCGAUGCAGCCUUGUAGCAAUCCACUUUGUGCGUGUAAUUCGUGUCACCUGAUCUGUAGAUACUUGUACCAGACGGAAGUUUUUCCAUAUAGCGCCUAAUAAGGAAAGGGAGAAUCCACGGUUUAGUCGUCUUUACUCACACAACGGCUUUACAACAAGAAAGCCAUCACAAUGAUGACGUCCAUCAUUUCUGUCGUAUAUGCUGUGUUUUUCAUGGUCGGGGUAUCCACCCCCAAUCGUGUGCCACGAAGAACCGGAGACCAGCCAUCCCUUGGGAACUGCCUUUCGUUUAACUAUGGAGGGAUCAGUCGUGUCCACUGGUAUGACUGCUGCAAUAACUGUAUUAACGGCAUAAACAGCACGUGUCCAAGCACAUACCACUCGGCCUCUAAAGAACUGUACUGCGAUACGUGCGGCCGAGAUACCGCGAAAGGAAAUGGUAAACCGCGAGACAAUGGUCGGGAUUUCAGUUGUGGUGGGUGUGACGGUCAAACCCGAGUGGAUCAGAAAUGCAAGACAUGGGGGAAAGGAAUUCCGGGGUUUUGCUGGGCGUAUUCAUUAUGUUUUAAAAAACAAUGUGAAGGUAAAUACAAGAACUGUGGUAAUAGAAUAUGUGAUGGAGGAGAGAACAAGGAUAAUUGUCCGAUAGAUUGCUGUGACUUAAAAAAGAACCCUUGCUGUGGUGAAGCUGGAUGCUGUGCCUCGAAGUCCGGUGUCUCAGAGGGAGUAAAGGUGCUACUUCCUAACCUUAAACAUGUUUUGUCUGUGGUGACACUGACCUUCAUCAUAACGGGCUAGAAUCGUUAGGUUCCGAAACUUUUGAAACUCUCUAACACACAUUUAUGAAGCUGUGACGAUAUUGCAAUCGUUCAACAUAUCUUUAAUGUCGGAUGUUUUGUCAUUAUAAAUUGUAAUGAUCAUUUACAUGUAGUUCAAAUAACAGUUAAUAACAAAAAUAUUCCACGAUUGAUUCCAAAUGCCAGAAAUAAAAAAAAGGUAUCACAAUUGAUACUUGUUA